rnacentral:lncRNA from 1 species
GGAGGUGGUGGAGUCGCCGUCCCUGGCAGCGUUCAAGAGGCGUCUGGAUGAGGAGCUGCGAGAUAUGGUUUAGUUUGUGGCAGCAGUGGUAAUGAGAAAACGGUUGGACUAGAUGAUCUUAUAGGUCAUUUCCAACCUUGUGAUUCUAUGAUUCUACUUUCACGUAAGCAAAAUGAUGUAAUAAUAGACUUUUCACUUGGAAAAAGCGUUAUUUGUUCUCCUCUAGUCAGAGCCAUAGAAAAUCAGGCACUGCUGUCUGACCAUGGCAGAAAGCAUAUCUUUUUUCCCAGGUUUUCUGAAUAUGACUUCAGAUAGAAAAUGAAAUGGGAAUAGGGUGAGUGCGUUGCAAGUGCUUGACAUUACUUUAUGCAAGUCCCAAGUCUUGCUCGGAGCAAGAGGCUCAAACUGCCUCCUGGGGGGGAAAGCAGUUUCUGCAUGCAUUCAGCUACCAGUAACUUCAGUUAGUACCUUGUCUGGAGUGUUCCUGCAACUAUCAUUUUUUCUCUUCUCUAGAACUGACUGCUUUCUCAAAUCUAUCUUUGCAAGCAGACUACCUUCCCAUCAAAUUGGGGAAAAUGAUACACAAAUUAAAAAAAAAAAAAAAAAGCAGCUUUCAUCUUUUUAUUGCUGUUCUAACAGCCUCUCUAAACCUCCAGUAUCUGAGGAGAAAGCAUCAUAUCUUCAGUUGGAAAAUAAGAAGCAACCUUAAUUCUUAUACAAGGCAGAUGUACAGACUUGCCUAGAAGACAGUAUCAAAAGAACUUGCUAAUUUUUAUUAUUUUCACGCAGUGGAAUGCAUUAAAUUACUUUUCAUAACUCUGAAAUUGUUAUUGUUCAUCUGUUACUGGAGAUCAGUGGGAAUAUUGUGUUUCCUGGUGCCCAACACUCGGGGUUUUCAUGGAAAGAGG